AUUGAACGCUGGCGGCAGGCCUAACACAUGCAAGUCGAACGCGUGGCGGACGGGUGAGUAAUGUCUGGGAAAAUGCCUGAUGGAGGGGGAUAACUACUGGAAACUGUAGCUAAUACCGCAUACCCUCAGAUGUGCCCAGAUGGGAUUGGCUAGUUGGGGGGGUAACGGCUCACAAAGGCGACGAUCCCUAGCUGGUCUGAGAGGAUGACCAGCCACACUGGAACGGAGACACGGUCAAGACUACUACGGGAGGCAGCAGUGGGGAAUAGUGCACAAUGGGCGCAAGCCUGAUGCAGCCAUGCCGCGUGUAUGAAGAAGGCCUUAGGGUUGUAAAGUACUUUCAGCGGGGAGGCGUGACCCGCAGAAGAAGCACCGGCUAACUCCGUGCCAGCCGCCGCGGUAAUAC
rnacentral:rRNA from 1 species